rnacentral:rRNA from 1 species
UACGAAGGGGGCUAGCGUUGCUCGGAAUUACUGGGCGUAAAGCGCACGUAGGCGGAUCUUUAAGUCAGGGGUGAAAUCCUGGAGCUCAACUCCAGAACUGCCUUUGAUACUGAGGGUCUUGAGUUCGGGAGAGGUGAGUGGAACUGCGAGUGUAGAGGUGAAAUUCGUAGAUAUUCGCAAGAACACCAGUGGCGAAGGCGGCUCACUGGACAGCACCUGACACUGAGGCACGAAAGCCGGGGGAGCAAACAGG